GACGAACGCUGGCGGCGUGCUUAACACAUGCAAGUCGAACGGAAAGGCCCAGCUUGCUGGGUACUCGAGUGGCGAACGGGUGAGUAACACGUGGGUGAUCUGCCCUGCACUCUGGGAUAAGCCUGGGAAACUGGGUCUAAUACCGGAUAUGACCAACUGUCGCAUGGUGGUUGGUGGAAAGCUUUUGCGGUGUGGGAUGGGCCCGCGGCCUAUCAGCUUGUUGGUGGGGUAAUGGCCUACCAAGGCGACGACGGGUAGCCGACCUGAGAGGGUGAUCGGCCACACUGGGACUGAGACACGGCCCAGACUCCUACGGGAGGCAGCGGUGGGGAAUAUUGCACAAUGGGCGCAAGCCUGAUGCAGCGACGCCGCGUGAGGGAUGACGGCCUUCGGGUUGUAAACCUCUUUCACCAGGGAUGAAGCGUGAGUGACGGUACCUGGAGAAGAAGCACCGGCCAACUACGUG
rnacentral:rRNA from 1 species